rnacentral:rRNA from 1 species
CCAGCCGUCUAAGGUGGGACAGAUGAUUGGGGUGAAGUCGUAACAAGGUAGCCGUAGGAGAACCUGCGGCUGGAUCACCUCCUUU